CUCAGUGUUCUCAUGAGGGCUUGCGGAUCCGGUUUCUAGACCGGAAUCAGCCAUUUCUGAUGAGCUUACAGUUAAAUCAACCACAUCGCUAGUUUCAAAAGAUAUAUUUAUGAUAUCUACUGGUCCAUUUAACGGGUUUAAAAAAAAAUAAUAAUAGAACAGAGUGACCAUGAAUUAAUGGACUAGGUUACGAAAUAUAUUUAUAAAUUUAAAAAAUGCAAAACAGUUUUUUUUAAAUUUUGUUUUUUUUUAACCAAAUAAAUUUAUGACUACCGAGUAAGCGUGGGCGUAAGUAAUUUAUUAUUUAUAAAUUUAAAUGUGUAAUUUUAAUUCCAAUAAUUUAUUGAUCGCAAUACCUGCGUUUUCACGCCGCCCUAGCACACUUGCACCAAAUAAAACUUAAAUUACACACUACGUACAAAACUUUACUUAUUUAUCAUACAGAUAAUUAAUUAUCUGAUAAUUAAUAAUUAAUCAUCAUUUAUUAAUACAUUUGAAUAUUGUUUUUUUUUU